UCAGGGAUAUUACUUAAUAAGGAUGGUUGCU
rnacentral:piRNA from 1 species